UCCUCCCCCAAAAGCGGUUUACAACCCGAAGGCGGUCAUUCCGCACGCGGCGUUGCUCGGUCAGGCUUGCGCCCAUUGCCGAAAAUUCCUUGCUGCUGCCUCCCGUAGGAGUCUGGGCCGUGUCUCAGUCCCAGUCUGGCUGGUCAUCCUCCCAGACCAGCUACCCGUCAUCGGCUUGGUAGGCUCUUACCCUGCCAACUACCUGAUGGGCCGCAGGCCCCUCCUCCGGCGCGCUUGCGCGCUUUCCCCGGGUGGACGUAUGCGGGAUUAGCGAGACUUUCGCCUCGUUAUCCCCCACCGGGGGGCGGGUUCCCACGUGUUACUCAGCCGUGCGCCACUCACGCGCCCAAGCGCGUGCGUCCGACUUGCAUGCAUUAGGCACGCCGCCAGCGUUCGUCCUGAGCCAUAAUCAAACUCU
rnacentral:rRNA from 1 species